rnacentral:rRNA from 1 species
GGGUUGUGAGGUUAAGCGACUAAGCGUACACGGUGGAUGCCCUGGCAGUCAGAGGCGAUGAAGGACGUGCUAAUCUGCGAUAAGCGUCGGUAAGGUGAUAUGAACCGUUAUAACCGGCGAUUUCCGAAUGGGGAAACCCAGUGUGUUUCGACACACUAUCAUUAACUGAAUCCAUAGGUUAAUGAGGCGAACCGGGGGAACUGAAACAUCUAAGUACCCCGAGGAAAAGAAAUCAACCGAGAUUCCCCCAGUAGCGGCGAGCGAACGGGGAGCAGCCCAGAGCCUGAAUCAGUGUGUGUGUUAGUGGAAGCGUCUGGAAAGGCGCGCGAUACAGGGUGACAGCCCCGUACACAAAAAUGCACAUGCUGUGAGCUCGAUGAGUAGGGCGGGACACGUGGUAUCCUGUCUGAAUAUGGGGGGACCAUCCUCCAAGGCUAAAUACUCCUGACUGACCGAUAGUGAACCAGUACCGUGAGGGAAAGGCGAAAAGAACCCCGGCGAGGGGAGUGAAAAAGAACCUGAAACCGUGUACGUACAAGCAGUGGGAGCACGCUUAGGCGUGUGACUGCGUACCUUUUGUAUAAUGGGUCAGCGACUUAUAUUCUGUAGCAAGGUUAACCGAAUAGGGGAGCCGAAGGGAAACCGAGUCUUAACUGGGCGUUAAGUUGCAGGGUAUAGACCCGAAACCCGGUGAUCUAGCCAUGGGCAGGUUGAAGGUUGGGUAACACUAACUGGAGGACCGAACCGACUAAUGUUGAAAAAUUAGCGGAUGACUUGUGGCUGGGGGUGAAAGGCCAAUCAAACCGGGAGAUAGCUGGUUCUCCCCGAAAGCUAUUUAGGUAGCGCCUCGUGAAUUCAUCUCCGGGGGUAGAGCACUGUUUCGGCAAGGGGGUCAUCCCGACUUACCAACCCGAUGCAAACUGCGAAUACCGGAGAAUGUUAUCACGGGAGACACACGGCGGGUGCUAACGUCCGUCGUGAAGAGGGAAACAACCCAGACCGCCAGCUAAGGUCCCAAAGUCAUGGUUAAGUGGGAAACGAUGUGGGAAGGCCCAGACAGCCAGGAUGUUGGCUUAGAAGCAGCCAUCAUUUAAAGAAAGC